rnacentral:tRNA from 1 species
UGAAAUGUAGCUCAAGUAGAGCUCUUGCCUUCUAGCAAGUGAUCUGGGUUCAAAUCUCAAUAUUCCCU